rnacentral:rRNA from 1 species
CCAGACUCCUACGGGAGGCAGCAGUGAGGAAUAUUGGUCAAUGGACGCAAGUCUGAACCAGCCAAGUCGCGUGCAGGAUGACGGCCCUCCGGGUUGUAAACUCCUUUUAGUUGGGAAUAAAAUGGGGCUCGUGAGCCCCGAAUUGUAUGUACCAUCAGAAAAAGGACCGGCUAAUUCCGUGCCAGCAGCCGCGGUAAUACGGAGGAUGCGAGCGUUAUCCGGGUUUCUUGGGUUUAAAGGGUGCGUAGGCGGAAUGCAAAGCCAGCGGUAAAAUCGCGGGGCUCAACCCCGCGCCGCCGUUGAAACUGGCGUUCUUGAGUGGGCGAGAAGUAUGCGGAAUGCGUGGUGUAGCGGUGAAAUGCAUAGAUAUCACGCAGAACUCCGAUUGCGAAGGCAGCAUACCGGCGCCCAACUGACGCUGAAGCACGAAAGCGUGGG